UCCACUGUUUCCGAAAAUUUUAAAACCAAGCCCACUUGAAUUGUUCCGAAAAUUUUAAAAGAAAAGAAAAAAUUACAAAAAACACACAAACACUUUCCUUAUUCUAGAACAUUUCCACUACCGAAAAUUAGAGAGGAGAGAGACUGAGAGCGAACAGGCUUUACAAAGUUAGGGUUUCAACCAAAUUGUCGCAAGAUCUAACGAUUUUGUCUGCAAUUCGCAACUAGGUCCGAGCUUAAUCAUAUUUUUUGUAAGGUGUAGGAAUUGGCUGCGAGAAUUCUCUCUCACAUCGCUUAAUUGCUGCUCGAAAUAGUCUAUGCAUCGAGUAGUAGGGUUGAAUUGGGGCUUUGCAAUAAUAAUUCAAUCAAGUUCAGAGGAGAAAUUUUACUUAAACGAUCCGCUAAUAUUCACGCUUUGCUAACUGUUAAUUGCGUUCAAUGGUUUUUGUGGACAAAUGUACGGCGUCUGCUGAUUCUCCAGUGACGAACUUCCCUGGAAAAAUUCUAAAUUACAGCUGAGAAACUCGCACAGAAGCCAAUUCUAGGCUGGCACUUACUGUGAUUUGAUGACCCGGACAGCAGUAUGGCCAACAUGAUUGAUUAAUUGAUUAUCGAGCAUUCGAGCACCAACAUAGUAUCCUCCCUUGAUUUUAGAUUUGAGAUUAAGAAAUUAUUAAUCAGUAUUCUGAAACUACUCUUUUUUUUUGCUAAAGUCUUAUAUCUGUUGUCUAUGCUGCUGACUGCUGUCUGCAUAUGCUGUUGUCUAGACUUUUUCACCCAUGAGGGAUUUUGGACUACAGGUCUAAUUCUGGAUACGUGAAAUUGGUAUCAACCAGAAUAUCAGGUCAGAUUAUAUGUUAUACCUUUAAAUGGAUUUAUCAAGGCAUUGUGUGAAUAGCUAUUUCUCAUAGUACACGAAUCUUUUAGUCUGGCUUGCAUUUGAACUGCCACUGUAAUGAUAGGCAUCAUAGGCAUAUUAUAGCAAGGAGUCCGUGGGAUGGUCAAAGCUCAUCCAAACUCGACUGUCGUUGCUGCUUAGUUUUGUUAUUUUAAUUUAGCAAUAAUAAUAUAAUAGUGAACUGUGAAGUUUGAAGUGAACUAAGUGAAUGAUCUAAUUUUGUUUGUUUAUUGAUGAGAACUGAAUAAAAAACGUCAGAGGACACAAAGUUGAUCAAAUUGUGUUUGAAUUAUAGCGGUUUUCAUACUAGUCAUUGUAAUGCACCUUUUGAUUUUCGUUUGAAAGUUGCAAUCUUAUAUAAUAAUAAAAAUGUCAGUGGCUUAUGUGAGGCCUCCGAAUCCCAAUUGAACAAUUCUGUGCAAUCCUGCCAAAACCAUUAAGAUAACUGUAAUCCCUUCAAACUUUAAUCUUCAAAAUUUAAAUACGUACUCCUCUAAGACAAAACCAUUAAAAUAAUUGUUCCACGUUAUCCCUAAAAAACUCAAGUGUCGUCUGUCAUUUCUCUCUAUUCCGUCUCCUCUCAAAUUUCUGUAUAUUCUGUGUACUUUAGGAAUUUGUGCCAGCAAGCUCAUCUUCAUUAUAUAGAGAUGUGCAUAUUGCAUCUAAAUAUAUUUUUGUCAUUCUAAUGCUUUGAACUUUUGCUUUCAAAACUCAAGGAAGGGCUUGGAGAAGGUUAUGAUUCAGAUGUUGCUUUUGCAAGCGCUCUUGAUCUGAAACAUUUGCAGGAGGGAAUAAUGAUCCUUUAGGUAUUUCUUUUGGAGGUUCAAACUCUCAUUGUGAUGACCUUCAUGUUUCAGCAAAUGGAUGACAGGAUUGUCACUGUGAUGAGCAUGAUGAGCUAAAUGGAGAAGAAAUAUAGAUCUAGCAAAUGAGACGGUGGAGGCUCUUGUUUGUUUUUGGGUCAUUUUGUGAUUUCUAGUAAUGUUGAAUUUGUUUUUAUGGAUUUUAUGUAUUUUUUCCAUUAAAAACAGUAAAUUAAUUAGUGAAUAACUAUUUUGUAAUGCAUGUGUCCUAUGGGCACCAAUAUUUUAAUAUUACUAUUUAAGUCAAUGAAAAUAUUUUGCUAUUGGCA